GAGAAAGGAGCAUGACACUCUGAGUUAGCCAUGCCCAAUAGGAUUUUUGAACCCAAAUUGCCAAGACAAGUCCUAACAGCAUAAUUAGGCAACACACCUUCAAAUGGACAUUUUGCCGGUAAGAAUUAAUUAUUGUAAGACAGAAUAUUCUGGAAGAACUAAGUUAGUCUCAAGUUGGUUUUAGAGUUAGAUGGAAAACAGAAUUUGUUAGUCUUUAAUCAGUGCUUUGUAAGCUCUCCUAUGAAGAAAGAUCUGCUAUAUUUUUCUCAGAAAAUACGUCUCCUCUGUUCUGCCCUGUUUUUUACUCUCUCUCUCUCUCCACAUUUUAUUUCUCAUCCAAACUCCUUAACAAUUAUUCAGUCCAUAAGAACACAACAUAUAUAACAUAGAAUUCGAAGAAAGAGAAGUUACAGGCGAAUAAAGCAGCAUCAUUGUUGAAUAAGUUCUAGCCAGAGGACCACAAAUAAUGGGAGAAGCAAAUAAUUUUUCUAACAUACACUUCCUGCCAAGGGAGUUUGAAAUGUUGGGAAAUUUCAUGGGGCUUACACUACUGAACACCAAAAUGAAAAGAUAAAAAAUGAGGGAUAGCGAGAUCAAUGAUAGCAGUCACGCGUGUAAUCGCCACAUUUUUGUUUGAGUUUACCGCCUUUGUUUCCUCUGGGGAGCAAGUUCUAUAGCCUUUAC
rnacentral:lncRNA from 1 species